UACGAAGGGGGCUAGCGUUGCUCGGAAUCACUGGGCGUAAAGCGCACGUAGGCGGCUUUCUAAGUCAGGGGUGAAAUCCUGGAGCUCAACUCCAGAACUGCCUUUGAUACUGGAGAGCUUGAGUCCGGAAGAGGUGAGUGGAAUUCCGAGUGUAGAGGUGAAAUUCGUAGAUAUUCGGAAGAACACCAGUGGCGAAGGCGGCUCACUGGUCCGGUACUGACGCUGAUGUGCGAAAGCGUGGGGGAGCAAACAGG
rnacentral:rRNA from 1 species